GGGGAAUUUUGGACAAUGGGCGCAAGCCUGAUCCAGCCAUGCCGCGUGAGUGAAGAAGGCCUUCGGGUUGUAAAGCUCUUUCGGCCGGGAAGAAAUCGUGGUCUCUAACAUAGGCCAUGGAUGACGGUACCGGACUAAGAAGCACCGGCUAACUACGUGCCAGCAGCCGCGGUAAUACGUAGGGUGCGAGCGUUAAUCGGAAUUACUGGGCGUAAAGCGUGCGCAGGCGGUUUUGUAAGACAGAUGUGAAAUCCCCGGGCUUAACCUGGGAACUGCGUUUGUGACUGCAAGGCUAGAGUACGGCAGAGGGGGGUGGAAUUCCUGGUGUAGCAGUGAAAUGCGUAGAUAUCAGGAGGAACACCGAUGGCGAAGGCAGCCCCCUGGGCCUGUACUGACGCUCAUGCACGAAAGCGUGGGGAGCAAAC
rnacentral:rRNA from 1 species